UAGGGAAUCUUCCACAAUGGGCGAAAGCCUGAUGGAGCAACGCCGCGUGUGUGAUGAAGGGUUUCGGCUCGUAAAACACUGUUGUAAGAGAAGAAUGACAUUGAGAGUAACUGUUCAAUGUGUGACGGUAUCUACCAGAAAGGAACGGCUAAAUACGUACCAG
rnacentral:rRNA from 1 species